UACGUAGGGACCGAGCGUUGUCCGGAAUUACUGGGCGUAAAGGGCGCGUAGGCGGCCUACUAAGUCGGACGUGAAAUCCCUCGGCUCAACCGAGGAACUGCGUCCGAUACUGGCAGGCUGGAAUCCGGGAGAGGGAUGUGGAAUUCCAGGUGUAGCGGUGAAAUGCGUAGAUAUCUGGAGGAACACCGGUGGCGAAGGCGGCAUCCUGGACCGGUAUUGACGCUGAGGCGCGAAAGCUAGGGGAGCAAACGGGG
rnacentral:rRNA from 1 species